rnacentral:rRNA from 1 species
AGGUGGUUCUGUAAGUAGGGCGUGAAAGCUCCCGGCUCAACUGGGAGAUGCCGUUCUAAACUGCAGAGCUAGAGGAUGGUAGAGGGAGGUGGAAUUCCAGGUGUAGCGGUGGAAUGCGUAGAUAUAUGGAGGAACACCAGUGGCGAAGGCGGCCUCCUGGACCAUUCCUGACACUCAGACGCGAAAGCUAGGGUAGCAAACGGGAUUAGAGACCCCGGUAGUCCUAGCCCUAAACGAUGUAGACUAGGCGUCGGUGGUUUAAUCACCAUCGGUGUCCAAGCAAACGCGAUAAGUCUACCGCCUGGGGACUACGGCCGCAAGGUUAAAACUCAAAGGAAUUGACGGGGCCCCGCACAAGCAGCGGAGCGUGUGGUUUAAUUCGUUGCUACACGAAGAACCUUACCUGGGUUUGACAUAGCAGUGGUAGGGAAGCGAAAGCGGACCGACCCUUCGGGGAGCUGUUACAGGUGUUGCAUGGCUGUCGUCAGCUCGUGUCGUGAGAUGUUCGGUUAAGUCCGCUAACGAGCGCAACCCGCGUUGUGUGUUACAAGUGUCACACAAUACCGCCGGUAUUAAGUCGGAGGAAGGUGCGGAUGACGUCAAGUCAGCAUGACCUUUAUAUCCAGGGCUACACACACGCUACAAUGGUCAGCACAAUAGGUUGCCAAGUCGUGAGACGGAGCCAAUCCUCCAAAGCUGGCCUCAGUUCAGAUUGCAGGCUGCAACUCGCCUGCAUGAAGUCGGAGUUGCUAGUAACCGCAGGUCAGCUAUACUGCGGUGAAUACGUUCCCGGGGAUUGUACACACCGCCCGUCAAGUCAUGGAAGCUGGCAACACCUGAAGCCGGUAUCCUAACCCGCAAGGGAGGGAGCUGUCAAAGGUGGGGUCGGUGACUGGGACUAAGUCGUAACAAGGUAGGUGUACCGGAAGGUGCGCCUG